AUUGAACGCUGGCGGCAGGCCUAACACAUGCAAGUCGAACGAGUGGCGGAAGGGUGAGUAAUGUCUGGGAAACUGCCUGAUGGAGGGGGAUAACUACUGGAAACGGUAGCUCAUACCGCAUCCCAUCGGAUGUGCCCAGAUGGGAUUAGCUAGUGGGUGGGGUAACGGCUAACCAAGGCGACGAGCCCUAGCUGGUCUGAGAGGAGGACCAGCGACACUGGAACUGAGACACGGUCCAGACUCCUACGGGAGGCAGCAGUGGGGAAUAUUGCACAAUGGGCGCAAGCCUGAUACAGCCAUGCCGCGUGUAUGAAGAAGGCCUUCGGGUUGUAAAGUACUUUCAGCGGGGAGGCGUUACCCGCAGAAGAAGCACCGGCUAACUCCGUGCCAGCAGCCGCGGUAAUUC
rnacentral:rRNA from 1 species